CCUACGGGUGGCAGCAGUAGGGAAUCUUCCACAAUGGACGAAAGUCUGAUGGAGCAACGCCGCGUGAGUGAAGAAGGGUUUCGGCUCGUAAAGCUCUGUUGGCAGUGAAGAAAGAUAGAGGUAGUAACUGGCCUUUAUUUGACGGUAAUUACUUAGCAAGUGACGGCUAACUACGUGCCAGCAGCCGCGGUAAUACGUAGGUGGCAAGCGUGUUCCGGAUUUAUUUGGCGUAAAGCGAGUGCAGGCGGUUUAAUACGGCUGAUGUGAAAGUCUUCGGCUCAACCGGGGAAUUGCAUUAGAAACUGUUGAGCUGGAGUGCAGAAGAGGAGAGUGGAACUCAAGGUGUAGCGGUAAAAUGCGUAGAUAUAUGGAAGAACACCAGUGGCGAAGGCGGCCGCCUGGCCUGUUGCUGACGCUGAGGCACGAAAGCGUGGGGAGCAAAUAGGAUUAGAUACCCCAGUAGUC
rnacentral:rRNA from 1 species